AGCCCGGCGCCGUGUGAGCCCGCCGGGACUCAUGUGUCUGGGCUGCCGGAGGAGGCCGGGGGGUCGAGCGUGCUGUGGUACCGCGCUCUCUUUGCCCCGCGCGGAGCCCACGUCCCAGGGCUGUGGGCAUCGCCGCCGGCCCCGUGCGUCCAGCUGCUGCCGGGCCGGCGGGCUGCGAGUGUGAGUCGGAACGGGAGCGUCAAUAAAAGCUACGGGGGGAACUGGGCGCGAGGAGAACCGUGCAUCUUCAGAGAAGGCACAGAGCUUUGGGAAGGGGGUAUCGCGUGGAGAGGCAGGAGGGAGAGCAGCGAUGGCUUCCUGGCAUCCUGCCCCACAGCCAUGUAAAUGUUCCUCUAUACGAACGUUCAUUGUUGCCUUCUACAUUCCUCUGCUGACAGUGAAGAGGUCAUGCUAAAUCAAACUGACGGAGAAACUGGACAUCAGCUUAGCCAGGAUGCCCAAAUUAAUACUACUGAAACAAAAGAUUUCUUCUUUGGUGGUGCUAGAGAGAGCUGAUGAGACAGUAAGAAAGUGGCAGGGAUUGCUGGAUCUGACCUUCACUUAUGCUAAGCUUGGAGCUGCACUGAAGCUAUUUUAAACAAGUGCAUUUCUAACGUCACCAGUGGUUUAAGUGGACACACAUCAAAUGCAAACAGAAUGGACAGGAGAGAAUCGAAUCAUCACUUGAAUGAAGACAGUCUGUGAGCAGUGGAACUCAUAAAAGGUGCAUAAGAACCAAGUUGGAGAAAAACUGGCUUUGGAAACACUAGCAGAGUAAGACAAUAUCUUUUCCUUUCAUGUCUUGUCCUUCAUGGAAUAAUGUCAACCACUUACAGAAGUGUCUGGUAAUUCUUGUUGACUGUAUCAGGACAGAUCUCACCAUCUCACCAUGACUCACCACAGCAAAACUGGCUGGGCCAAAGUCAUGUAUUGCUUCAGAGCCUAGCUAGCUGGGGAGAAGUAGUUUGUUUGCAAGUGAAGUUCUUUACACAGGCUUCCUUAUGCAAUUAUGAUUCACCAACUUACUGCACCAUGUGUGGGAAUGUGAAAGAGGGUUUAGAUGUUCAUUUUUGCCUCUGCACUUUAUUCAGAUACUCUGCUCUGAUUUGUAUACCGAUUACGUGGUAUAAGUCAUUUGAUAUCUGUUUGUUUUGGAUCAUCAAAGAAAUGAAUAAGACCUCUUAAUGCAGCCUGGUUUUUUUGUGUAGGUAUGUAGAGUCAUUGCACUGCCUGCCUCAUCUGCUUUAUAGGCAGUCUCUUCAUAGGAGAUAUUAAUUAUAUGAAUGCUACUAUAGUUAAGCUUGCUUGACGCUUUUCAUCGCAAGGUCCGGUUGCCUAUAAACUUGUCAGCUAUGUGUUAUUUGGACUGAUAAUGUACAUACUGGGAGAAUGCAUCUCACUGAAUUUUUUGUAUCUAAAGCUUCAGAGAAAAAAAAAUUCUUUUUUUUUUUUUUUAACCUGAAAACAAGUUUAAGGAGAAAUGUGUUUCUUCUUCCCUUGUCUUAAAAAAAAAUGUAUUUCCAUUUGUUGCAAAGCUCCAACAAUUUAGAGAAAUAACUUAAUAAUUUGCAGUUAGAAACAAUAAUUUGGAGGUAGAAAUAGAACAGAUAUGGUGGAAAGUAAAUUAACAAUAAUUAUUUAAAUGAAGCUACUUAAUAACUACUAUUUUCCAGAUUAUUGUUGUGUGGUCUCCUUAUGCCUUUGCUCUUCACCUGUGAAAAUAUGGGGAAACUCAUCCCAUUCACCAAAUCACUUGAAUUUCAUGAGAAUUAAUUUCGUAUUUGCAAAUCACUCAGGUAGUUCAAGGAUGGCAUGACAGAAAAGUCAUCAGACAUUCAUAAUUCAGUCUUUGUAGGAAAUCUUGAACAGAUCAGAAAUAAGAUCUGUUGCCUCAGAGAGGUCAGCUAGAAUUAAACAAAAUAAUGAACAUCUGUGUGUAUAGUAAUCAGUGUCUGUUCAGUCCACUCAAUGAGAAAGUGGCUACGAGAAAAUAUACUCAUGUCACUCACAUUCCUGCAUGCAAUGCACAUGCCAAGAGGACUGAAAUACAGUUGUCUGUGAAAUCUUGGAAGGUUGUCAGUUUUGAGUGAUUGACUUUGUAUCUGUAAUGUUCUUUUAGUAUGAUUUUUGACAUAUAUUUAAGUCACUCUGAAAAGCAUUACCUCCUAUUUGUUUACAUGGAAACCACAACAGAUACAAAGAGCACAAUAACGCUAUUUGAUAGAGCAAAUUCUCAACUACAAAACACAGUUUCCGACAGAAUCAUCACCGUUAGCUAUGCAUUUCUGCCAGCAGUGAGCAAGAGCCUGUAUGCCACAUUCAGAAAAAUCUGCACCAGUGGAGGUGGCCCAUUGUUUCACAGCUGCUACAAUGGUGUCAUUGCUGGGAAAAUGUGCCCACACAGUCCAUCAACUUGAACAGAUAGAAGUCAAGGAGGCACCAAAUCUGGGCUUAUAUGGUAGAUGUGGUAGGACAGUCCAGCCAAGGCAAUGUGAUCCAUGGUCUUCAAAUGGAUAUGGCACUUAGUGUUACUGUGUUGCAAGAGAAAGGUUGUCUUCUUCUUUGACCUGACUCUGGAAGUUUGAGCCUUCAGCUUAGUCAGUAUUAUGAUGUAGCGAUCAGAGUUCAUGAUUUGUCAGGGUUCCAGGAAAACCAGAAGAGUCACCCCUUUCCUAUCUGAAGACAAUGCACAACACACUUCAUUUUACCUACUGACGGCUGUGUCUUGAAUUUGUUCAUCGAUGGGGAAUUCACGUGUUGCCACUCCAUGGACUGCUUUUUUGACUCUGGCUAAUAGUGGUGACCCCACAUCUCAUCACUGAGAAACUGUCACUUUCAGCCUUAUAUUGGUUCAGUAGGUCCUGAUGAACUUGGAAACUGUGUUCUUUCUCUUUCUGUGUGAGCAUACAUGAAAUACACCUGGCAAAAAUUUUGCAAUAUUCCAACGUUGCCACUAUCAUUUCCAACAUAAUGAAGCUGAUAUUCAGCUCCAAACACAGUUCCCUGGUUGUAGUCCACCAAUUCAUGUGGAUAAGCUGAUGGAGGCACUCUUCAUUUCAUGGUGUGACAGCUGUACCUGGCUGUCAAAAUAUGGUUUGUCUUUCCAGUUGCUGCCACCACUCCUGAAGUACACCACUCAGCACCUUACUGUGCUCACAUCUACCAUUAGUCUCAAUAAAUGUUCACCAAGUGUCAAUGAAUGUUAAACAGUGCCAUUUUUUUCCUCUUGGAGCAAUUCCAUUCCACACCUUUGCUUCAUACACACUUCUUUGUCAGAUGCUAUUUUGUCAGACUGCCCCUCAGCUGCCAUCUGUCACAUGGCAACAAAGUAAAAUGGGAUAUCAGCAGGAAAGCUAAACCUCUGCUGCCAUACCCCCAACAACUACCUCUGAUAUCCUGGGCCCAACGCUACAGGCUUAGGGCAGAGUGGCUGGAAGACUGUGUGGAGGAAAUGAAUCUGGGGGAGUUGGUCAACACUUGGCUGAAUGUGAGUCAGCAGUGUGCCCAGGUGGCCAAGAAGGCCAAUGGCAUCAUGGCUUGUAUCAGAAAUAGUGUUGCCAGCAGGAGCAGGGAGGUGAUCGUCCCUCUGUACUCAGCCCUGGUGAGGCCGCAUCUUGAGUACUGUGUCCAGUUUUGUGCCGCUCACUACAAGAAAGACAUCGAGGCUGUGGAGUGUGUGUGGAGAUUGUCAACAAAGCUGUGAGGGGUCUGGAGCACAAGUCUCAUGAGGAGUGGCCGAGGGAGCUGGGAUUGUUUAGUCUAGAGAAGAGGAGGCUCAGGGGAGACUUUACUGCUCUCUACAGCUACCUGAAAGGAGACUGUGUUGAGAUGGAUGUCAGCCUCUUCUCCCACGUAACUAGCGAUCAGACUAGAGGGAAUGACCUCAAAUUGCACCAGGGGAGAUUCAAGUUGGAUAUUAGGAAAGACUUUUUCUCCAAAAGAGUGGUCAUGCACUGAAAUGGGCUGCCCAGGGAAGUGGUGGACUUACUGUCCCUGGAGAUGUUCAAGAAACGUUUAGAUGUUGUACUGAGGGACAUGGUUUAGCGGGAAAUAUUGGUGAUAGGUGAGUGGUUGGAUUGAAUGAUCAUAGAGGUCUUUUCCAACCUUGGGGAUUCUGUGAUUAUGACUUUCAGAGCAGCCCUUGUGAUUUGCUACUCAGUAUUAACAGUAGCUCAAGCUAUAGUGGAGAGAAAUGCAUGAAAAUAAGGUAGUUCUACAC
ensembl:lncRNA